GUCCUACGAGAAAGUAAACGUCUGGUUGUCUGCUGGCUGCAGCAAUGCGCUCAGAAAGGAAGUGUGGCUUUGAUUCGCUUCUCCAACAAUGCCAAGAUGUGAAAGUAAUGGGCAACGCGAGUGAAACAAGCGAGAAAUUGGUGGGAUGGGCUAACCACACGUUCAGACCAGUCUAGUGCGUAUUCUCAGCCGGAAUGUUUCGAAACGGAGGAUUGCGUUAGUAGGAGGCUUUAGGCUUUACCCCAAGGUAGAAGGAUACUGAAGCCUGAAGCAGCAAGCUGCGCUGGCGAUAUCAUUAUACUAGACGAAGCCAUUGCAACGUGACAAUGUGAGAAAGUCAACAAAUAUAGAAGAGGAGAAAAGGCUGAAAGAACGAAUAAGAAAUGAAGGAUAAGUCCUGUAAAAUUCUACUAUCGAUAGAAGUGCUUGUGACUAUUUUCUACCUACUGCUAGAGCGUGAAAGUAAGUUUGAACGGAAGAGAUGAGCUUCUCUUGAUGUUGAUGUGGAUUACGUCGACAAUGCUGAAGAAUCUGAUCAGUGUCCUGGUGUUAGUCCUGGACUCCAGUACGUAGCAUUCGCAGAUUGUUGUUGGCUGCUUUGUAUAAAAUGGAAAUUCCAUGAGGUCACAAUUUAAACGUCAGAAGGCACUCUAAGACAUUAAAGAGUAUCUCAAGUAAAAGAAAGCCAUCAAUAAUUAUAUGUUUAGGUUGUGAGAGUUGAUUGAAACUUCUGAAGAUUGUAAUCAAUUAUCAACAAUCCUCCCACCCAUCCU